UAGUGCUUCUUCUUCUAAUUCAUUCACAGACAAAGAUCAAGAUCCAAAUGAAGAUUAUAUAUAGAGAUUAAAAUGAAGAUGGUUCUGAAUAUCCACAUUAAAAACUUGUAAGUUUUGUGACGGGUGAGUAAUAUGAUGAUGUGCUUCAAGUCAGCGUGUCCCCCUGGCGUUCCUUGAAAAUCAGGCAUGGCAUAUAUAGUGAGUUAACACUGGUAUUCUGUACUAUCGGUCUGUGAAUACCUGGCUGGGAAUUUUCAUCGGUCCACUUUGCCCUACAGUUACCAGCUGAGCCGCUCAUAACCCCACGUGGGAACCCACUCUUUGAUAUAAUUGUAGCCAAUCGAGUCAAUUGAAACCCCAUGAGGGGCCUCCCUCCUCAAUUUUAAUGUUAAGUUAGUGGAGUCACUUGAACUUAUUAAGGACCCUCUCCUUAAUUUUAAUGUUAUCCAAUUGAGUUGCUCGAAACUCCUUAGAGAACCCAUUCUUUGAUCUAAUGUUAACCAAUUGAGUCACUCGAAAUCCCUUGGGGGACCUCACUCCUCAAUUUUAAUGUUAAAUAAUCAAGCUGCUUGAAACUCCUUGAAGAACUCUCUCCUUAAUUUUAAUUUGACCCAAUUGAGUUGCUUGAAACUCCUGGGGGUACCCAUUCUUUGAUUCAAUGUUAACUAAAUGAGUCACUCUAAAUCCCUUGGGGCACCGCAAUCCUCAAUUUUAAUGUUAACCUAAUGAAGUCACUUGAAACUCCUGAGGGACCCUGGUGUUCAAUCUGUUGUGACUCAAUCGAGUUGCUCGAAACUCCUGGGGGAACACGUUCUUUGAAUCUAGUGUUAGCAAGUCGGAAAUGCUUGAAACCCCUUAGGGUACCUGUUCUUUGAUCUAAUGUUAACUAAUCGAGUCACUCGAAAUUCCUUGGGGGACCUCACUCCUCAAUUCUAAAUUUAAAUUAGCUGCUCAAAACUCCUUGAGGAACUCUCUCCUUAAUUUUAAUGUGGCCCAAUUGAGUUGCUCGAAACUCCUCGGGGGAACACAUUCUUUGAUCUAAUAUGAACCAAUUGAGUCACUCAAAUUUCUUGGGGGACCUCACUCCUGAAUGUUAACUAAUGAAGUCACUUGAAACUCUUUAGGGACCCUGCUUUUCAAUCUGAUUUGACCCAAUCAAGCCACUCGAAACUCCUUCAGGAACUCUCUCCUUAAUUUUAAUUUGACCCAAUCGAGUUGCUCGAAACUCCUUAGAGAACCCGUUCUUUGAUCCAAUGUUAACCAACUGAGUCUUUCAGAAUCCCAUGGGGGACCUCAAUCCUCAAUUUUAAUGUUAACCUAAUGAGGUCACUUGAAACUCCUGAGGGACCCUGCUGUUCAAUCUGUUGUGAAACAAUCGAGUUGCUCGAAACUCCUGGGGGAACCCGUUCUUUGAAUCUAGUGUUAGCAAAUCGGAACUGCUUGAAACCCCUUAGGGAACCUGUUCUCUUAUCUAAUGUUAACCAAUUGAGUCACUCGAAAUUCCUUGGGGGACCUCACUCCUCAAUUUUAAUUUUAAAUAAUCAAGCUGCUUGAAACUCCUGAGGGACCCUGCUCUUCAAUUUUAUUUGACCCAAUCAAGCCACUCGAAACUCCUUCAGGAACUCUCUCCUUAAUUUUAAUGUUACCCAAUCGAGUUGCUCGAAACUCCUGGGGGAACCCACGUUCUUUGAUCUAGUGUUAGCAAGUCGAAACUGCUCGAGACCCCUUAGAGAACCCAUUGUUUGAUCCAAUGUUAACCAAUUUAGUCAGUCGAAAUUCCUUGGGGGACCUCACUCCUCAGUUUUAAUGUUAGCUAAUCAAACUGCUCAAAACUUCUUGAGGAACUCUCUCCUUAAUUUUAAUGUGACCCAAUCAAGUUGCUUGAAACUCCUUAGAGAGCCCGUUCUUUGAUCUAAUGUUAACCAACUGAAUCACUCGAAAUUCCUUGGGGGACCUCAAUCCUCAGUUUUAAUGUUAGCUAAUCGAGCUGCUCAAAACUCCUCGGGGGGGGAAACCCUUUCUUCGAUCUAAUGUUAACCGGUCGAGUCGCGCAAAACUCCUUGGGGAUCUCCCACCCCUCUCUGCCACUGACAAUUAGGAUCCACAAAUGGUCUGCAAAGAGAUUCUCAAAGUAAAAUCUCAAAACCUGAAUCAAUGUGGAGGUUGGGGUACAGAGUCUUAAGGUAAUUACUGGUGGUUCUCAAAUUCGGAGAGAACAGCCCUGGCUUUUUCUAUUAGAGGUCGGGUGUACGGUUGGAGUGCCACGUGCAGAUUCCCAAUGGGGAAAUUAAACUUGUGAACGUUCACAAAUCAACUUAAUUGGAGGGGAUUCAGAAACGCCUGGACCGGUUAAUGAUUGUAUUUAUAGUGUUUCGUCAUUUCACCCUCUGAACUCUCUGAUUUAUUUUUGUACCGGUGGCAGACCUACCGUCUUGGACUGAUCGGUAAAAGAUGAUAAAUUUGAAACAGUUGACGAGCUGUCAGGUUGCACAGGGGCUUUCGUAUUGCUCAGACGCAAAUGCUCUGAAGAUAUGAGUGUUGGAGUAAAAUAUGAUGCAUUUACCUUUUCAUCAAGAAGGGGAAAUUCUUCUUUUACCGUGUUGUCUUUCAUUUUCUUUUUCUCUUCAGUCUCCCCCUCGUGCUCAGUUAGAUGAUCGACUUGGCCAGUCUAAAACCUCACACUGCUUUCCACCACAGGUUGAGUAGGGCAUUGUGCUCGGGAUCGUCGUCUUGUUGCUGCAUGACGAAGGUCCUCCCGAUUCAUUUGGUAGGUGUGGACCUCUGAGUGGGUCAUUAAAGACGAGUGAGCUUCUUCCACCUACAGUAUCUCCGCCACACUUGACAGGUGGGAUUGUAUGUUUUGGAUCACAAGUAGAAUCGGUUUUUGCUAGAAGUGAAUUUUAGUUCCAUCCGUCCAUUAAAAUAAUACAUUUUAUUUAUGUAGCGCCUGUCCUUUGUUCCGGGAACUUGUGUAGUCUUCUCUACAGUGAGAAUCUGGAACAAAGCACCAUGCCAUGUUGUUGAGGACCUUCAAGAAGGAUUUGGACGAGAUAUUGGGACAUCUUAGCUAUGAGCGAAACCGACGAGGCACAAAUUGAUGGCAGGGUCUCCUCACGGUGGUCACCGUUCUUCCUUCUCUUAAGUUCCAGUCUGGCUUUCUGAUUCUUCUUACCGAUGAGUGCUUUUCAUCUUGUGGUAGGGCCUCGCUUUGUCUACUCUGAGUCUUCCUGUGUUACCGUCACCCAUUUCCUUGUGGAGACUGAAGUCACUGACUGUUGGGCUUUUUCUUCACAGAUCUCACAAUGUUUCCAUCGUCAGCUGUCAUUUUCCUUGUCCAACCUGUUUGAUGUCUGUUGCUCAUUCUUUCUUUUCCAGAACAUUCCAGAUUGUUACAUUGGUUGUGCCUAAUGUCUGUGUAGAGUGAUGCUCCCUCUUUUGUCAGCUUUACUCUCGCUGACCGCUCUCUGCUCUGUCAUGCUGGUUGAUUUUUUUUUAGCCGCAAAUGCAGUCGUCACAGGUGACAUCCAAGACUCACACCAAGAAUUCAGUCUUAGGGGUCCUGGGGGAGCCAGUUUUCCUCUCAACCAAUACACUGUUUUAAAUGCCUCAGGAUUCCAAGCUUCAUUCCUGAUACACUUCCGAAUUUUACAAUCGGAGGUGGUGGUUUGGGCCGCGUCACCGGUUCUUUAGGUGGUCUUCGAUAUGUUUGAGCCCUCAUUGUCUUUGGUGCCAUUCGUUGAACUUUCCAGGAAGACGGGUCACUCUCAUCAUAAAAGGUGGUACAGCAGCCUAGCGAUGUUGAUCCUGCAGACGGGGCCGAACUGUUGUAGUCAGCACUUUAUGAUCAAUUCUUCAGUUGGAGGUUGGUUAUCGCAUUGGGUCCGAAUGGUUGCAUUGUGGUGGCAAUCAUGGAGGGACACACCCAGUAUUCUCCUCACGCAUUGCAUCUGGAAGACCUUCAGCUUGUUCACAUCAGAUUGCAGCAAAGUCCAAAUUUCUGCUCCAUACAGGAGAAUUGGCGUACGAUCAGAGUACAGAAGAGACAUAGUCUUGUUUUGAUGGAAACAUUGGACUUCUUCCAAAGGCACCACUCGAGCGAUGCGAACGCCACAGCCGCUCAUCCAAUCCGACUAUGAUGUCACUUUCUUCUCCUCUAUGAGUGAUCCUAGAUAUUGGAAUGCUUGAACCUGCUCAAUUUGGACUCCAUCUAGGUAAACGUGUCGCCUGUGAUCCAUCUGUGGUCACGAUCUUGUGCUCACACCAUUUGUUUAAACCAUUAACAGUUAACUGUUGAUCGGUCACAUGGUCCUAUUCUAAAACUAUCAAAGGUGCCAUCUUCUAUAUCGUUAAGACACAUCGAGAUACCAACAAUACCAGCUGAAAUUCUGGACUCUCGUCUUAUGCUCUUCUUCUGAUCUCAAACCCAAAUGUCUUCAGGGUACCACAAGUGACAUGAAUUAGCCUGGCCACACCACCAGGCUCAGUGACACGAACAUCGUGAAUAGUGCCAAGGGAGCUAACAUCUUGCUUGUCCUUCCACCUGAAUGCAGUCACUUUGCCACGUUGCAGCUUCACGGUCAGAUUCACCAGGCUUAUCACAGCGGUGCCAGAUGCAUCGGUUUCUGAUGACCAACUCACAUUAUCAUCAAUCUCUCUUAAUUCAAGUAAGGCUUUACUUGCAGUUUGUUCUAAAACUGGCUUUACAACUCCUCGUUUACACACAUUGUGUGUUUUUUUAGUUGAAGGCUCCGCCCCACUCAUGAUUAUCGAUGAGUGACAACAGACAGAUACAUAUUCCCAACUUUUUUGCAGCAUGAUAUUUUAUCCAUUAGAUGGCAGCAGAAUACUGUCCUGUGUGUUGUUCAGGCUUAACACUGUGCAAUGGAUCACUAAUGACUAAUCUUCACUCGAGAUGCACUCGGGCGUAACCGUUUUCACAUAGAACUCCAAGAUAAAGAGAAGCUUAGAGCUAACAUUAAGUAGGUUAACCUCAGACUAAAUGAUCCAAACUGAAGAAAAGAAAACCAAAAACUAGGGAAGGAGCUCUGGCUAAAGUAGAACACUGUAGGGUCGGUACCUUCUCACAAUUCUCUUUUUCUGAUUUCCUUCAAUUGAUUUUGUACAGGCUGGGCCUUAAACAGUUUUUUUAUUUAUUUAUUUUUUUUUUGGUGGGGUUGGGAGAGUACACUAAUCCAGUAGACCCCAUCUCUGUUUUGAUAUACAUAAGUUUAUUUAGUUUCACAACUAUGAAGAAAUUCUGAAUUUUCUCAUGGGAUUAGUAAAGUUUAUCUAAUCUAAUUAUCUAAUAAUCUAAAUUAAAGUGGUGAAUUGUUCACCGAUUUAUCUACCAUGAAAA